GAUGAACGCUGGCGGCGUGCUUAACACACGCAAGUCGAACGGUGAAGCAGGAGCUUGCUCUUGUGGAUCAGUGGCGAACGGGUGAGUAACACGUGAGCAACCUGCCCCUGACUCUGGGAUAAGCGCUGGAAACGGCGUCUAAUACUGGAUAUGUGAUGUGACCGCAUGGUCUGCAUCUGGAAAGAAUUUCGGUUGGGGAUGGGCUCGCGGCCUAUCAGCUUGUUGGUGAGGUAAUGGCUCACCAAGGCGUCGACGGGUAGCCGGCCUGAGAGGGUGACCGGCCACACUGGGACUGAGACACGGCCCAGACUCCUACGGGAGGCAGCUGUGGGGAAUAUUGCACAAUGGGCGGAAGCCUGAUGCAGCAACGCCGCGUGAGGGAUGACGGCCUUCGGGUUGUAAACCUCUUUUAGCAGGGAAGAAGCGAAAGUGACGGUACCUGCAGAAAAAGCACCGGCUAACUACGUGCCAGCCGCCGCAGUAA
rnacentral:rRNA from 1 species